ensembl:lncRNA
AGGGAGGGGAGGGGAGGGGUGAGGAGGGGGAGUGGAGCGGGGCGCAGCACCGCCGCACGGCGGGCGCGGUGAGAGCCCGGGCCGGUCGGGAGACAGGAAAGAGCCCGGUUUUCUCUCCCCGAAGUGAGGAUGAGGAGGGGAGGGAGGGAAAGAGGAAGCGUGGGAGGGGGACUGGAGCGCCCUGGAUGGGGCCACAAAGGAGGAAAGCCAGCCAGAGGAGGAGGGGAGAGAAAGCCCGGACCAGCUCCACCUGGGGAACCCCGCGCCGUUGCAGGCACUUUUCUGAACGCACCAAACUCCCAACCCGGAAAGCGAGAGCUGGAAAAAGAGGAGGAGGGAAGGGGAAAAAAAAAAACCUCCACGAACCUGGGAAAAGCAGGAGGCCGCCGCCUACCUGUGGCUCCCCGAACUGGAGCCUCACCCUUCCCGGCCAGCCAAGGUAGCUGCUCCCGGCCCGGCCCCGAGGCCCUCGGUCCAGCGGGACUCCCCAGGGAGAAGCCAGCCCGCCCGGCCUCCUCUGCUCGGCCAAAGGGGCCAAGCAAGAGAGGGGGCACGUCUCGCCUCAGCCCUUACCCCCGCCGUGCUGCGGGCCAGGCCAGAGGUGCUGCUCCAAGGCCCAGGGGGAUACUAAGCCAAGGCAGGCACCAUUGGCCAGAAGGUGACAUCCCCACUGCUGUCCCUGCUGUCUGACAGGACACUGACCUUGGGGGAGCCAUCCCUGUCCUUGGAGUUAUGUUUGGAUAAAAGCCAUGCUACCAGUGGUGCAAUGGAAGAAUCAAAGCUAACUGCAGUGGGAAUGGCACCGUGGAGGAAGUGGUAGUUGUGAUGGCCUAAGGAUGUGAUUCAACUGCACACCAACAAUGUGCAACACCUCUUUGCCUCUAAAAGAGGAGCUCUCCUGCCUCUGCUUCCUUCCUUCCAUUCCUGCUCACAGAUGCAUGAUCUGAAUCUUGCUCUGCAAGCAUCUGAAGUCAUCAGUGUGGAAGAGCUGCAGCUCUGCUGCAUAAAAGGAGGCAGCUGAUAUGCUGUUAAAAAAUUGCAGGAACAUGUACUCUUUGCACUUUGAGACACAGCAGUGAGUUGGAUCAUCCUCAGGGGAGGUGAACAGUGGAGACAAUCGAGACUGUGAAUAGAAACACUUGCAAGAGAUCAUAGAGCCUAGGAAAAUACAACUAUAGCACAACAACCCCUUCAGAAUUCAAGUGAUCAUCAGAGGUUUUUGGUCCUGGUGUUCAAUUGAAUAGAGUGCGAAAAGAAGACUGCCAGUCACCGUGGUUGUGUGGAAUCAGAGACAACCUGCCUUUAAGACUCCAAUUCUUGGAAAAUGGAAAGAAUCCCAACCUAUACUUUCCCAAAGAGAAACCAAGUUGCUGAGAAAUUAUCUCAAUGGGUCAAUAACAGUACUCCUGGAAAUUGCCAUACUAAUUUUCUUCAUUUGGUUGAGGCAUUUCUGUGUCUCCUAAGAGAGUGCAUUCUGCUCUUCCACUUCCUUCACAGCAGAAAAACUUCUGAUAUAUUUUUUCAUUGAAAACAUAGAAACAUUUUUCACUAGACCAGGUUUCUCAAAACACCACGCACCCUGACCUUCACCACUUCAAGGGAUGGGGGCAUCCCCAGCUUCUCUUUGCUACUUGGUCCAAUGUCCCAGCACUCUCACCAUGAAAAAUUUCUCCCUUAUAUCUAAUCUAAGUCAUUUAUAACUAUUCCUUAUUACUGAGUUUCAUAGCUACAGGUAUGCAAACAACCAGUGACUGUACAACAGGAAUACACAUGUCAUCAUUUGUGCAAGAAAACCUACAUCUGGAAAAACAAAGGCUGUAGAAAAUAUCAACUGAAAAUCAGAAUAAACACAGACUUUUCAUAGAUGUUGACCA